GUCGGGAAUUUUGCUCAAUGGGCGCAAGCCUGAAGCAGCAACGCCGCGUGAGGGAUGAAUGCCCUCGGGUUGUAAACCUCUUUUCUCAGGGACGAUGAUGACGGUACCUGAGGAAUAAGUCACGGCUAACUACGUGCCAGCAGCCGCGGUAAUACGUAGGUGACCAGCGUUGUCCGGAUUUACUGGGCGUAAAGAGCGCGCAGGCGGUCGUUCAAGUCGAGUGUGAAAGCCCCCGGCUCAACUGGGGAGGGUCACUCGAUACUGAUCGACUUGAAGGCAGGAGAGGGAAGCGGAAUUCCCGGUGUAGUGGUGAAAUGCGUAGAUAUCGGGAGGAACACCAGUGGCGAAGGCGGCUUCCUGGCCUGUUCUUGACGCUGAGGCGCGAAAGCUAGGGGAGCAAACGGGAUUAGAUACCCGAGUAGUCC
rnacentral:rRNA from 1 species